AUACGGGGGAUGCAAGCGUUGAUCGGAAUUACUGGGCGUAAAGCGUUCGUAGGCGGUUUGUUAAGCAAGAUGUGAAAGCCCUGGGCUCAACCUGGGAACUGCAUUUUGAACUGGCAAGCUAGAAUACUGUAGAGGGUGGUGGAAUUUCCAGUGUAGCGGUGAAAUGCGUAGAGAUUGGAAGGAACAUCAGUGGCGAAGGCGGCCACCUGGACAGAUAUUGACGCUGAGGAACGAAAGCGUGGGGAGCGAACAGGAUUAGAAACCCCAGUAGUCC
rnacentral:rRNA from 1 species